rnacentral:rRNA from 1 species
UCCUACGGGACGCAGCAGUGGGGAAUAUUGCACAAUGGGGGAAACCCUGAUGCAGCGACGCCGCGUGAGCGAUGAAGUAUUUCGGUAUGUAAAGCUCUAUCAGCAGGGAAGAAAAUGACGGUACCUGACUAAGAAGCCCCGGCUAACUACGUGCCAGCAGCCGCGGUAAUACGUAUGGAGCAAGCGUUAUCCGGAAUUACUGAGUGUAAAGGGAGCGUAGACGGAUGUGCAAGUCUGAUGUGAAAGGCGGGGGCUCAACCCCUGGACUGCAUUGGAAACUGUAAAUCUUGAGUGCCGGAGAGGUA